GAUCUGCGUAAGACGCACUAAUGCGAAAGCAGUUGCCAAGGACGUCCUCUUAUGAUCAAGAGCGAAAGUCGGGGGAUCAAAGAUGAUUAGAUACCGUCGUAGUCCCGACCAUAAAUGAUGCCGACUGAGCGUCGGCGACUCGGCCUUCGGCCGUACGUCGGCGCUCUUGAGAGAAAUUAAAGUCUUUGGGCUCCGGGGGUAGUAUGGUCGCAAGUCUGAAACUUGAAGGAAUUGACGGAAGGGCACCACAAGGCGUGGAUGUUGCGGCUUAAUUUGACUCAACACGGGAAAGCUUACUAGGUUUGGACACUUGAAUGAGGGACAUAUUGAAGCUCUUACCUUUUUUUGUGGAUGGUGGUGCAUGGUCGUUCUCAGCCCGUGGGUUGACCUGUCAGGUUUACUCCGGUAACGCGCGAGACCUCGGUUUGCUAAAUAGACGCGGCUGUCUCGGCACCCGCGUUCUUCUUAGAGAGAGUCUCGACGAGAGUCGAGGGAAGUCGAGGCAAUAACACAUCUGUGAUGCCCUUAGUUAUCCUAGGUCGCACGCGCCAAACAGUGUAGCUUACAACGAGUUCCUAGGCCGACAGGCGUUCUCGUUCGAUCGCGGCUGCACGGGACGUCGUCGGACGAACCGCUCCACGCGAGCGGCACUCCACGGCGCCGGUCGUGCCUCUCGCCGUUCGAGAUCACMGGGCAAUCUUGCAGAGAGCUACGUGACUGGGCUAGACUCUUGUAAUUGUUGGUCUUCAACGAGGAAUGCCUAGUAAUCGCAGGUCAUUAUCCUGCGAUGAUUAGGUCCCUGCCCWUUGUACACACCGCCCGUCGCUCCAUCCGUGGCAUGCGCCGGUGAAGAGGGGGAGGCAGCGUCGUCCGAUUAACGUCRGCACGUACGUGUAACCCCUCUGA
rnacentral:rRNA from 1 species